rnacentral:rRNA from 1 species
UACGUAGGGUGCAAGCGUUGUUCGGAUUUACUGGGCGUAAAGGGUGCGUAGGCGGUCGGGUAAGUCUGACGUGAAAUCUCCGGGCCUAACCCGGAAACUGCGUUGGAAACUAUCAGGCUAGAGGAAUGGAGGGGAGACUGGAAUACUUGGUGUAGCAGUGAAAUGCGUAGAUAUCAAGUGGAACACCAGUGGCGAAGGCGAGUCUCUGGACAUUUCCUGACGCUGAGGCACGAAAGCCAGGGGAGCAAACGGG